GUCGGGAGCUGUGGUGGACUCUUGUAAACCAACUUCUAGGUGGCUUAGAAUGGGGAAGAUUUGCCUGUCGGGCUACAACUUGGCUGCCCGCCGUCGUUGACCGAGUGUCCGUGUCAAGCAUAGCGUCGAUAGACCAUUAGUGGGGGAGCCCGUUAGUGAUCGGUCGUAGUCAGUUUACUGACUUAUAAAGAGAGAUGGAUGGCUCAGGUUCGUGAGAGAGCAGGCAAAAGUCUUCGCGCUAUGACAGUGGCCGGAUAGCACACGCGAGGCGUUGGGUUUCAGGUGCCGGCAUUAUAUAGUCUCACCCGUUCUUUU
rfam:Strongyloides venezuelensis genome assembly, scaffold: SVE_contig0000043